UCAGGUGCUGUGACCUCUGCCCUCCACAGGCUCCUCCGAAAUCCAACCGGAUGCCCAGGACCAGAGUUUGAGGCAUGCGUCUGCAGGAGAGCAAUUCAAUUCCGGAAGAAAAACACGUUUUCUCUCUGUCUCCAGGAUGGGCUCGUCCACCCGGCUCCAGAGCGGGCUGUUCUGUGUGAGAAGCAGCUCUUGUGGGUCGCUUUGAACAGAGGAGAUGGAAAGAGGAUGUCUAGGCACACACUGGGUGAAGCAUGCAGCCUCCCCCACAGACCACCAGGCCCUGACAGGAGGCACUCAGUGCAGCCCCUCAACAUCACCCACCUGAACACUCAGCAGCCGAGAUGACGGCACAGCCCAAAGUUGGGUCACAGGCUCAGGAGUGUCAAGCUGUGGCACCGCUGCCUGUACAUCAGCUCCUCUUUGACUCCAGCCUCCGACAGACUCAGUGAUGGAAACGUCAGCUUUACUCAUUCCUGGUCUUCUCUCAGGGACCGGGCCAAGCUUCCGGAGCCUUAGGGAGCACUGAGGCACGAGGGAGGGGCUGCGGCCACUGUGGCUGCUGUCCACAGGCGUGUUUUCCUUAGAGAGGGA
rnacentral:lncRNA from 1 species